AUGUCUCCUGUUACUUUGUAUUUAUCCCUCACAGCUGCAGCUCUUUUAACCGGACGUUGUGGAGGAGACUCCGUUUCACAGACACCGGCCGCAGUCACAGUGAGUGAAGGACACAAUGUUCAGUUGCUCUGUAAUUUUACAGCUACAACCACCAACCCUAACCUGUUCUGGUACCGUCAGUAUCCCAGCGGAUCCAUGGAGUAUCUGCUGCAGAGGAAUAAAUUCAGCGAGGACACAGGAAGAUUCCCGGGAGACCGUUUUUCAGCGGCGUUUGAUGAUAUGAAUCGCACGGUCCCUCUGAAAGUGUCUAAAACUGAACUGAGCGACUCCGCGGUGUAUUACUGCGCACUGGAACCCACAGAGACACAGAGCGAGGCUGAACCUGUACAAAAACUGCCAGAGAGUCUCUCAACAUAA